rnacentral:rRNA from 1 species
CUUAGAAGCAGCCACCAUUUAAAGAAAGCGUAAUAGCUCACUAGUCGAGUCGGCCUGCGCGGAAGAUGUAACGGGGCUAAAAUAUAGCACCGAAGCUGCGGCAUCAGGCGUAUCACAAAUACGCCUUCGAUUAACAACAUCGAAUGAAGUGAAACGGAAUAAGAUGUUGGUCAAGCACCCAACACGUUGAGUUGGCAUAAAGUGCGGAUAGAAAUCAGAGGAAUAUUUGUGAUACGCCUGUUGGGUAGGGGAGCGUUGUGUAAGUCGAUGAAGGUGUAUUGAGAAGUAUGCUGGAGAUAUCACAAGUGCGAAUGCUGACAUAAGUAACGAUAAAACGAGUGAAAAACUCGUUCGCCGGAAGACCAAGGGUUCCUGUCCAACGUUAAUCGGGGCAGGGUGAGUCGG